GUUCCCAUGGUGAUAGUAGGUAGCCAUUGUAUAUAGAGAGGCUCACUUUCCUGAGAGCAGGCAACCUCAGGCAUGGAGACCCGCACAGCACAGGCAUGUCUACUCAUGGAGUUCAUCAGACAGAGUGAGGGUCCUUGCCAGAAGAUGUGAUUCUGUUCCCCUGCACCCUGAAGGCAAGGCAGUGCCAACACAUGAUGCAACGAUGUGUCCAUCUCCGUGGAUUCCUGAAACACAGACAGGGUCUCUUACAUGUGACUGCUAUGACAGGUGGCAUGUGGGAUCUGACCUCCCCUACCAGCAGUGAAACCCACAUCUCCCUCAUUGGAAGGUAAAGUCUUUAACCCUGGACAACCAGCGAAGUUCCCCUAGUGCUCUUAAUGCCCUACCUUUAUGACCUCUCAUAUACAUAGUGUGACAUUUAUUCUUUCAAGAUGAGAAAAACGAUUACAUAUAAAAACUUGAAUCACCACAAAAUCUAUGCAAGCCUAGAAUACAGCACUGACACUCACAGCCCCGAUUCUCCCUGACACAAAUAUCUUGUGCAAAUCUGAUACAGGAAAAACUCAAUUCCAAGAUGAGAUAAGGAAAAGAAACCAGCAAAGGAUUGUUUUGGAGGUCACUACAGGAGAAUUCCCCAGGCAAAAAUGCUGGAGUGGGUUGCCAUUUCCUUCUUCGGGGGAUCUUCCUGACUCGGAUCAAAUUCGUAUCUCUUGCAUCUCCUGCAUUGGCAGGCAGAUCCUUUACCACUGAGUCACCCAGGAACCCCCCCAAAAGAAGUCCAGGCAACACAAAUGGAUGAGGGACAGCUGCCAUGAGGCACAUCUUGUGUUAAGUGACGGUGACUGAUAGAAUCCCUUCUGCAAACAGGAGACAAAUACAGAAACACAGAGCUGAGGGGAAGAUGGCAGGACUUCAGAGAUGAACUGUGACCUGGAAGCGCUCAGGGAUGGAAAAGCCCAGCUUGGGAGUGAUUUCCUCUGAGAGCAGGCAGUGGGAAAAGGAGGAGGGAGUCACUAUCUUUUGUGAUACAGCCUUAGAGAAAUAUUUGACUUUUCCAACUAUGUGAUACGUAACUAAGAUUUAAAACAUUUACAAAGAGCCUCUUUCCUCACCCGACUCAGUGUCUGAGCCCUCUGGACAGAUUGCUUGCAGGAAUGAUCAGGAGUCUGCCCGCAUGUAUCCAGGGCCUGGUGGCCUAUUCUAGGACUGCUCUACAAUGGAGAAGGCCUUCCUUAGGAUGAGCUUUUCUCUCCCCCACCUUAAUUCCCCACUAGCUAGUCCUAGAUCUCUGCUUUUUAUGUCUCCAUGAACCUCUGGGCUUCCGCUCAUGGGCCUCCCACUCAUGUUCCCAAGUCACAUUAAAUCCCCAAUCCUUGACCUCUCAGAUGCUACACAGCCUUGGACCAUAGGCUCAUAGUUCCUGACCUCAGAGGCCCUCUGCCUCCUGUCAAAAGCACCCUGGCCGCUCCUUCCCCAGGACCUUUGUAGCCCCACUUCUUCGUGUUCUGCCUCAUUGCACAUAGACAUCUGAGCACUGAAUUAGGGAUGGGGGUGUGAGGACCUGGACAUGAUACAGAAACAAGAGUUUAGGGUUGUAUGUCAUCAUCAUGGAAACACCUUCUGUGAUCUGGGUGCAGCUUCAGAGAGGUGGGACCAGAAACAGACCAGAAGAGGCACCAGUCACCUCCAGUUCACAGUGUUUCUCUUACUGAGCUUCUCUCUCCUAAUUUUGCCAGAGCGUUGGGUCCCUGGGAAGCGUCAGAUUCCUGGGCCUUAGUGAGCAACUGGGGAGCUCUUGGGUUGAGUGGCUGCCCUCUGUAGUCUUAAUGUGUGAGGGAUGCAGAACAAGUAUCAGAUAAGGAGCCCAUCGCAGGACACCUACAGCUGACAAAGAAGCAUAAACACCAGCUAAAGGAGAUAAUCAGAAAACCCUCAGGAUUACAGAUGUGAGUAAGUGGGGUGAGGACUGUCACCACUCAGCAGACCAGAGAGUAGAGAAGCCAGUCUUGGAACAGAAAUACAGGAAGAGGGCUAGGCAUACUGGAAGACUCCCAUGACCCAAGAACUCAACACCUCUGACUCUGGCUUAGAAGAGGCCUAAGUCCUCAAGCUAUGGUGAGGGCAGGGCUUUUAAUGAAAUAACAUGUUAAGAAGGACUGAGUGACUUAAACGCUGUUCUGCUUGAGGAUCCAUGGCCUGGGCCAGUUUCUUAUUGUGCAUUGGCAGCCAGUGCCUAGUACCAUUUUAUUCUUGGAACUCCACUUUCUUUAAGACAUUGAGUGAAUCAGCAUGAACUGAGCCAGAGUUUAGAAAUGUCUGCAUAGAAAUGUAGCAAGUGCUUGGAAAAUGGCCAGAUUGUGAAUAGAGGGCCAGAGCAACAGAGUAGCCUUUUGAAAAUACCACAUGGCUGGCCUCCAAGAGGCAACUCCCAAAAGAUACGUUCAUAAAAAUCUCUCCAGAAAAGUCACAUCUGAGUCAAGAAGGCUCUUUUGGCCUGUCUCCUGAAACUGGAGAAGUCUUUCACAACCCAUUGGGUGAUGUCCCAAACUGACUCUCUAGUUUCUAAAUGUGUCUGAGAAUGAGCCUCAGCCUUAACUAGGAGGUCACCCACAAGUCCUCAAAGUCAAGCCACAUACAGAAGGCCACACACAGAACUGAGAGAGUGCCUGAAAAACUAUGGAUAGAGGUUCAUGACAUUGUACAGGAGGCAGUC